CACAUUAGGAGAACAUCUUUUAAAAUAUGGCUCAAGCUAAUUUUAAGCAUGGUUGGAAAAAUUUGGCCUACGCUGAUUAAAAUCUGUACUUAAAUGAAAGGAAAAUUUAACCACAGAAAAUAUGCUUAGUUUGGAAAAACAAGCAUAUCACUGCCAAAGUGCUGUCCUAAGUUUAGACUGCUGCCUAACGUUAUAAUUAGGAGAAACUAAAAUGAAUUUCUAAAUGUUUCAAGAUGAAACAGCCAUUGGGUAAUUUGCAAGAUAUAUGAUUAUCUUCUGAAUUCAAACACAGUGCUAAUACUCAAUCUGAACAAAUGCAGACUGUUGCUUGUGUGGAGAUUGGGGAAAUCAAUGUUAAAAUCCAUAGUAACACUAGGUAAGAGUAAACGCAAUGAAACCUAAGAGCAAAAUUACCAAGUGAUGUGGAAUUAAUUACUCAGACAUAAAGAAUAUUAUUUGAGGAAGAAAACAGUUUAGAAUCUACCGUUUACCACUUCUGUCUCUCCAAGAGCUGACCAAACUGAAAAAAAAAGGCUUCUCAGUGCUUUUACCACUGUUAAAACCGCUUUAGUGGCCAUAUUAAGUGGUUCACGCAAGUUCUCACAUGCAGGACAGUAAUAUUUUCACCUUCAAACACCAGAGAAGGUCUUCCUAAUGGACUUGAAAGGUCAUAAGGCACAUUUUCUUUAACUUCCCAAAUAACAUUUGUAUCUGGGUUGAAUCAUUAUCACACCAAACAAGCAAAAAGUAAGAGAAAAAAAUACCACACAAUAACCCCAGGUCUGUAUGUUCAUUUCAUGUACAACCACAAUAAAAUCCAGUUACCAUGAACAGUUGGCUAAAUCUUCACCUGAGACAACUAACAAGGUUUCAUGAAAUCAAACUCGAUUCCUAUUUUAAAAUCAUGAUGAUGUGGGCUUGUCAGAACCAGCACUACCUGUUAUUGUUUCUCUUCAGUUCAGCAAGAGAAAUGAUGUGCUUGGUUUUACUUCUUGUUUCAUUUCUUGUACCUUGAUACCCACAAGGACAUAAAUGGCAGGUUUAUACCAAAGGAUGAUCAAAAAACUUGCAAGUCACAGAAGUUUUAGUAUUACAGAGAAAGUCUUGGAAAAGACUGUGUCAAAGCAGCAAGAUGAAAAAACAGUUUUGUUUCAGGGAAUCCCCAGAAAAGAAUAAGCCCAUUAUCAGAUUAAACGCAAAUUCAUUUUCUCAGACUUAUGAAAGGACAGUGUAUUAACCAAGUCGAGCAAUUACUUUUGUAUUGACCGGUAAAGCCUCCCUCCAUAAGCAGACAUAUGAGAAAAAGCCCUAAAAAAAAGAAGAAAUAUUUUGUCUAGGUUUAAAGAAGUCUACUAACAUUGUUCUCUACCAUCUCAUCCUAUCCUGCAAUAGCAACAAGGGCCUUUAUAAAGCACAGCUGUCUUUCAGGAGUCAUAAACUUUUUGUCCAAGUCAACAAAAAGUUACAUAAACCAAAGUGCAAGCCUUUCCACACACUCAGAAAGGAUCUGUUUCAAAAAGUCAACUCUCUAAAGGUUCCAUUUUCCACUCUCCUAGCUCUAAGAGCUGACCAAACAUUGCACAAUGUAAACAAGCCAGCUAGUUCCCAGUCCGUAGCUAAUAAAACAUUAAACCAGAUUAUGUAACUCAAUAUCGGACACAGGAAUCUUGUCUGCCUGUUCUCAGCACCACAACCUGAAGAAACAAGUGAACAAGGGACAACCUUGAAAAAGACUGUCAGUGGAGAACAGGAGUAAGAAAUAUGGAAAGAAGAAAUGGACAGGCAUCAAUAGAAGUACCUGCUGGAGAAGCAGAGGCUCUGCAGGAACAGAUGAAACACAUGACAGCCCGUCACUUGAGCAAACAGAGGACGGAUUUGUUGAAUCAAGUAACCUUAACACUGCUAAAAUCCCCACUGAAGCUCUCUAUUCUAAGUAUUAAAAAACACUACAAAAUCUGAUGAGCCAACCAACAUUUCAGCGGUGUUCAUUUUAAGACAUACUUUGACUUUCCUACUUUUUAAUCCUAGUUUCCCCAUUUUGUAACAAAGAAAAGCAAAUAGACUGUCUGUUGUUUUUUUUUUUUCAUGUUACUGCAAAAUAAGCUUGUGCUUGAUAAAGACUAAAUCAUUGCCAGGGUAAAUACUACUGAAAAGUCUAAGUGUCCAAAAGCAGAGAUUAGGCGUUGUCUUUAAAAGAAGAAACGUCUCCUAUGUAGAUGCUUAGCAAUCAAUAAUCAAAAUAUGCAACCCAUUAUGUAAGCACACCCCACUUAAUAAACUAGGUUAAGUAUGGCUUACAAAUAAUUACAUCCAAGAAUGGUAUCACGAUGAAUACGCAUAAGAACCAAAGCGAGGCUGCACACGUAGUUUAACUCUAGCAUUUAUUUCUGGUACCCAGCUUUCUACAGCCAGUUAAGUUCUCAGCAGUUUGGCUGUCACAAGUUACAGACCUUGUUCUGACCCCCCUCCUGCACUUCUUGCACAUGGGACAUUUGGGUCAAAGUUUAGUUUUGCUACAGAGUAAAUCUAGCCGAGAUAGCAGCAUGCACGGCAUCACCAAUGGGAGAAGUGACAAGAGGCACGGCGACUAGGGAAAACCACAGGAGGAUGGUUGGAAAAAAAAUGAAACAAAUCUACACAGAACUUUACUGUAAUCUUCUACAGAAGUCUACACUGACUCUGCUUUCUUAAGAAGAACAGAUGCUAAGGAUGAGAGUAUAACAACAAUCAUGCGAUUGUCUCUUUAGAUAUAAUAGAAUUAAAGGUACUGAAGCCAAGGUUUCGUGACGUACACUUUUCACACAACGUGUUCCCAGACGAUCUCAGGCACUCCCCUGCGGCGUGUCCCCGCCCGGCAUCUCCGCGGCUCGCAGCCCUCCUACAACGCUCCGGCCAUGCCUGGGGAGGAAGGGAAGCAGGCCACCCGAUCAAGGAGGGGAUAUUGAUGAAGAGCUACUUUUUCAGCUACAGGAAGCAUCAUGCUUGAAGGCCCUGAUCUUGCUAGGUGGCUUCAACCACCCUGACACCUAAUGGAAAAGCAACACAGCAAACUGCAAGCAAUCCAGGAGACUACUAGAAUGCAUCGAGGAUAGCUUCCUAGCAGAGGUGAUAGAAAGCCCAACCAGAGGAGACACGCUGCUGGACCUGUUGCUCACCAAUGCUGAAAAACUUAUCAGAGGGAUCAAGACUGGAGAUACCCUGGGCUUUGGUGAACAUGCUCUGGUAGAAUUCUCAGUCUCGAUGGAUUCAGGAUGGGCAGAAUAUAAAGGCAAGACACUAAAUCUCAGAAAGGCAAACUAUUGGCUGUUUAGGGUACUAGUGCGAGGGAUCCCUUGGGAAAGUACCCUCAGAGAUAAAGGAGUGAAUGAGAGAUGAGAGAUAUGUAAAGACAUUUUCUUAGGACACAAUAGCUCGUGGUAACGACACUUUGUUUUUGCUGGGAAUGCUGUCAGGAGAUACUAAUUAAAGUUUG